rnacentral:rRNA from 1 species
CCAGCUCUCCGAGUGGUGUGGAUGUUUAUUGGGCCUAAAGCAUCCGUAGCUGGCUGAGUUAGUCCCCUGUUAAAUCCACCGAAUCAAUCGUUGGAUUGCGGGGGAUACUGCUUGGCUAGGGGACGAGAGAGGCAGACGGUAUUUUCGGGGUAGGGGUGAAAUCCUAUAAUCCCGGGAAGACCACCAGUGGCGAAGG